rnacentral:rRNA from 1 species
UACGGAGGGUGCGAGCGUUAUUCGGAAUCACUGGGCUUAAAGGGCGCGUAGGCGGGCCAUCAAGUCAGGGGUGAAAGCCCCCAGCUCAACUGGGGAAGUGCCUCUGAUACUGGCGGCCUCGAGGGAGGUAGGGGCGUGCGGAACUUCCGGUGGAGCGGUGAAAUGCGUAGAUAUCGGAAGGAACACCGGUGGCGAAAGCGGCGCGCUGGACCUCUUCUGACGCUGAGGCGCGAAAGCCAGGGGAGCGAACGGG